UGAGCUGAUUCUCUGGGAACUGACCGCAGAGAGGAAGUGAAGUUGUGAGUGGGGAAGUGAGGAAACAUCAGAGAGCACACGCUGUAGGAUUGGUCCGAUGAACCAUUCGAGUCAGUCGUUUGGGUUUGUUGCUUUACGGUGCGAUAAUUGAGAAAAUCUGUGUAUCGCUCUGUUAUCGAAAUUGUGGCUGUGACCAUGGACAGACCCUCCUGAAACUAUUGGAACGGCGAGGCCAGCUCAUUGUUUUUGCUUUACACUGAAGACAUUUGGGUUUGAGAUCAACAGAUGAAUAUGAGAAGAGAGUUUAGGAUUUCAGCUUUUAUUUCCUGGUAUUUAUAUGUAAAUGUCUUCAACGAUAUAGAACACAUAAAAAUGUGCUAUCAGACCACCCAUUUAAACAAUAAAUAUCGCUGAACAUCUACUCUUGGUUUUAGGGUUGAGUUUCACCUGUAUUUGUUGUUAAAAAGGAUAAACCAACAUGAAGAGCAGAGAGCUGUCUAUGGGAGAAGAGCGGGAAAAUCAAUCCGAGGCAUUGCACAAGCAACGGGCAUGGCCAAUACAACAAUCUGGAAUGUGCUGAAAAAGAAAGAAGUCAGUGGUGUAGUGAGCAACAGAAACCGAAAGGGUCGGCCAAGGAAAACAACAAUAGCUGGUGACAAACAUUGUGAGAGCCGUGAAGAAAAACACAAAAACAACAGGCAGUGACGUCACCAACAACCUCCACAGUGCAGGGGUGAAGGUAUCGCAAUCCACCGUUUGAAGAAGACUUCGAGAGCAGAAAUAUAGAGGCCAUAACACAAGAAGUAAACCACUCAUCAGCAGCAAGAAUUCAGAUUAGAAUUCACAAAGAAAUACAGAGACGAGCCACAAAAGUUCUGGAACCAGUUCACCUCUACCAAAGAAAGACCAAAGUGUGAAGAAAGAAAGGAUCUGCUCAUGACCCAAAACAUACAAGCUCAUCUGUGAAACAUGGUGGAGGUAGCGUCAUGGGUUGGGCUCGCAUGGCUGCUUCUGGAACAUUCUCACUAAUCUUCACUGAUGAUGAACUCAUGAUAAUAGCAGCAGAAUGGAUUCAGACUCAACAAAGGACUUUAUCAGGGGGGAAAGUGGAAGGUUUUAGACUGGCCAAGUCCUUCACCAGACCUUCACACAUUUGAGCACAAUUUCACCUCCUGAAGAGGAGACUGAAUGGAGAACCCCCCCCAACCCCAAACAAAUCUGAAACAGGCCGUGGUAAAAACCCGGAGAAGCAUCACAAAAGAAGAAUGCAGCAGUUUGAUGUCAUCAUCGAGUCGCAGGCUUGAUGCAGCUACUGCAAGCAACGGAUACG
ensembl:lncRNA